rnacentral:rRNA from 1 species
AGUGAACGCUGGCGGUAGGCCUAACACAUGCAAGUCGAACGGCAGCACAGUAAGAGCUUGCUCUUACGGGUGGCGAGUGGCGGACGGGUGAGGAAUACAUCGGAAUCUACUUUUUCGUGGGGGAUAACGUAGGGAAACUUACGCUAAUACCGCAUACGACCUACGGGUGAAAGCAGGGGAUCUUCGGACCUUGCGCGAUUGAAUGAGCCGAUGUCGGAUUAGCUAGUUGGCGGGGUAAAGGCCCACCAAGGCGACGAUCCGUAGCUGGUCUGAGAGGAUGAUCAGCCACACUGGAACUGAGACACGAUCCAGACUCCUACGGGAGGCAGCAGUGGGGAAUAUUGGACAAUGGGCGCAAGCCUGAUCCAGCCAUACCGCGUGGGUGAAGAAGGCCUUCGGGUUGUAAAGCCCUUUUGUUGGGAAAGAAAAGCAGCAGGUUAAUACCCCGCUGUUCCGACGGUACCCAAAGAAUAAGCACCGGCUAACUUCGUG